rnacentral:rRNA from 1 species
GAUACCGCCCAAGAGUUCAUAUCGACGGCGGUGUUUGGCACCUCGAUGUCGGCUCAUCACAUCCUGGGGCUGAAGUAGGUCCCAAGGGUAUGGCUGUUCGCCAUUUAAAGGGGUACGCGAGCUGGGUUUAGAACGUCGUGAGACAGUUCGGUCCCUAUCUGCCGUGGGCGCUGGAGAACUGAGGGGGGCUGCUCCUAGUACGAGAGGACCGGAGUGGACGC